rnacentral:rRNA from 1 species
CUACGGGCUGCUCCAGUGGGGAAUAUUGCACAAUGGAGGAAACUCUGAUGCAGCAACGCCGCGUGAGUGAAGAAGGCCUUCGGGUUGUAAAGCUCUGUCUUUUGGGACGAUAAUGACGGUACCAAAGGAGGAAGCCACGGCUAACUACGUGCCAGCAGCCGCGGUAAUACGUAGGUGGCAAGCGUUGUCCGGAUUUACUGGGCGUAAAGGAUGCGUAGGUGGAUAUUUAAGUGGGAUGUGAAAUACCCGGGCUCAACUUGGGUGCUGCAUUCCAAACUGGAUAUCUAGAGUGCAGGAGAGGAAAGUGGAAUUCCUAGUGUAGCAGUGAAAUGCGUAGAUAUUAGGAGGAACACCAGUGGCGAAGGCGACUUUCUGGACUGUAACUGACACUGAGGCAUGAAAGCGUGGGGAGCAAACAGGAUUAGAUACCCGGGUAGUC